UCUUUCUCCCACUCUCACAACUUUUCUCCCACCAUUAUCACACUCCAUAGAAGCCUUUGAAGCCCCAAGAGAAGUAGCAAAGCAAGGGAGAGUGUGGGAAAACUAUAGAGUGAAGGUUGUGCUUCGAGGGUCCGGGCGACAGAAAGUGAAGCCGAAGAAGAAACGACUCCACGCCAGCUUUAAGAACAAUUGAGGUUGAGCAGGCGAUGGAAUGGAUCGGUGUUGAGCGGAUUUCCCUUUUGAUGUUUAUGUAAUGAAACCUUGAGUAUGCAUCUCCAUAUGCAUAACUCACACGUUUUUUCGCUGCAAACACUCUGACUUAUUUAUCAUUUCUACUUGAACUUAUUACUACUUCAUUUUAAUUAACUUUCAGUUGGGGUCUAGUCGUUAUGGCAGACUCAUUUGUGAAUUACCCAAGUGGUUAUAUAUAUAUACCACUAGUUUGUUAUUAA